GUCGCUGUGGCUUAGUUGGUUGAAAGUGCCUGUCUAGUAAACAGGAGAUCCUGGGCUCAAAUCCCAGCAGUGCCU